UAUGAUGGCGACCGGCGCACGGGUGAGUAACGCGUAUCCAACCUACCCAUUACUAGGGAAUAACCCAGCGAAAGUUGGCCUAAUGCCCUAUGUAGUCGUUUGAUCGCCUGAGAUUUCGACGAAAGAUUUAUCGGUAUUGGAUGGGGAUGCGUCUGAUUAGCUUGUUGGCGGGGUAAAGGCCCACCAAGGCAACGAUCAGUAGGGGUUCUGAGAGGAAGGUCCCCCACAUUGGAACUGAGACACGGUCCAAACUCCUACGGGAGGCAGCAGUGAGGAAUAUUGGUCAAUGGGCGAGAGCCUGAACCAGCCAAGUAGCGUGCAGGAUGACGGCCCUAUGGGUUGUAAACUGCUUUUAUAUGGGAAUAAAGUGAGGGACGUGUCCCUUAUUGCAUGUACCAUACGAAUAAGGACCGGCUAAUUCCGUGCCAGCAGCCGCGGUAAUACGGAAGGUCCAGGCGUUAUCCGGAUUUAUUGGGUUUAAAGGGAGCGUAGGCUGUUUGUUAAGCGUGUUGUGAAAUGUAGGAGCUCAACUUUUAGAUUGCAGCGCGAACUGGCAGACUUGAGUGCGCACAACGUAGGCGGAAUUCAUGGUGUAGCGGUGAAAUGCUUAGAUAUCAUGACGAACUCCGAUUGCGAAGGCAGCUUACGGGAGCGCAACUGACGCUAAAGCUCGAAGGUGCGGGUAUCGAACAGGAUU
rnacentral:rRNA from 1 species